UUUAGGAGAAGUCUUAUUGUGAGGGCGAGUUAUAUAACACCAUAGGACUGGCCGUCCCAUAUGAAAAGAUUAUAUUAGAAUUGAAUGAAGCUUUGUUUAUAUAUUGAUAAUGACAGUAUAUAUAUCGUGUCUUGACUAAUUGCGUGCCAGCAGUCGCGGUAAUACGUAAGAGACUAGUGUUAUUCAUCUUAAUUAGGUUUAAAGGGUACCCAGACGGUCAAUAUAGCUUAUAAAAUGUUAGUACUUGACUAGAGUUUUAUGUAAGAGGGCAGUACUUGAGGAGGAGAGAUGAAAUUUCGUGAUACCAAAGGGACUCUGUAAAGGCGAAGGCAGCCCUCUAUGUAAAAACUGACGUUGAAGGACGAAGGCACAGAGAACAAACAGGAUUAGAUACCCAAGUAGUCUUUGCAGUAAAUGAUGAAUGCCAUAGGUUAGAUUGAUCAAUUAUAGUCUAGGGUUAGUCUAGCAAACUAAUGCCCUAUGAUAUAAUUCAAAAUAUCUGGUCUAUAAAUGAAAGUGUAA
rnacentral:rRNA from 1 species